AGCGACAAGAUUCACAGGGCAGUGCUCUGAAGAAGCAAGACCUCAGCAGAUGAGGAGACAGAAGAUAAGCAUGCUGCAAGACGGGAUGUUAUGACUGCUGCGGAAGAGUCAAGCACAAGGUACAAUCUUAGGGCAGGAACCAUGGAAACAAGUGCGUUAACAGAUGUGUUUUUUUUGUGUGUGUAAGAUGUGUAAGUUUUUGUUGUUGAAUCAAUUGAUUCUUUAUAAUAAAACCUAAAUGAAUAUCUGAUUAAUCUGCUAAUAUCUAUUCUUGUUUCUGG
rnacentral:lncRNA from 1 species